UACGAAGGGGGCUAGCGUUGCUCGGAAUUACUGGGCGUAAAGCGCACGUAGGCGGAUCUUUAAGUCAGGGGUGAAAUCCUGGAGCUCAACUCCAGAACUGCCUUUGAUACUGAGGACCUUGAGUUCGGGAGAGGUGAGUGGAACUGCGAGUGUAGAGGUGAAAUUCGUAGAUAUUCGCAAGAACACCAGUGGCGAAGGCGGCUCACUGGCCCGAUACUGACGCUGAGGUGCGAAAGCGUGG
rnacentral:rRNA from 1 species